rnacentral:rRNA from 1 species
AGAGUUUGAUCAUGGCUCAGAAUCAACGCUGGCGGCGCGCCUAACACAUGCAAGUCGAACGAGAAAGUGGAGCAAUCCAUGAGUAAAGUGGCGUACGGGUGAGUAACACGUGGAUCAUCUACCCUCUAGUGGGGAAUACCGCUGGGAAACCGGCGACAAUACCGCAUAAGCUCGAGAGAGGAAAGCAGCAAUGCGCUGGAGGAGGAGUCCGCGGUCGAUUAGUUAGUUGGCGGGGUAAAGGCCCACCAAGACUGUGAUCGAUAGCCGGCCUGAGAGGGCACACGGCCACACUGGCACUGAAACACGGGCCAGACUCCUACGGGAGGCAGCAGUGGGGAAUCUUGCACAAUGGGGGAAACCCUGAUGCAGCGACGCCGCGUGAGCGAUGAAGCCCCUCGGGGUGUAAAGCUCUUUCGGCAGGGAAGAUUAUGACGGUACCUGCAAAAGCAGCUGCGGCUAACUACGUGCCAGCAGCCGCGGUAAUACGUAGGCAGCAAGCGUUGUUCGGAGUUACUGGGCGUAAAGGGUGCGUAGGCGGCUUUUUAAGUUUGGUGUGAAAUCUCCCGGCUCAACUGGGAGGGUGCGCCGAAUACUGAGAGGCUAGAGUGUGGGAGAGGAAAGUGGAAUUCCUGGUGUAGCGGUGAAAUGCGUAGAUAUCAGGAGGAACACCGGUGGUGUAAACGGCUUUCUGGACCAUAACUGACGCUGAGGCACGAAAGCGUGGGUAGCAAACAGGAUUAGAUACCCUAGUAGUCC